ensembl:lncRNA
UACAAUGCCGUUUCGGUUGCAUUUCAGUGGGUUCUCAGACAUCUGAGAACCUUUGUUUGUGUGUGUGGGGAUGUGUGUGUGUUUAAUCACACUGUUUUAUUCUAACCAGGAGCUUCAUUACAAUUCUUCUCUUUGUAGUGUUGAAAUGUCUAAGACCUCAUAUGCAGGCCGGACAACUUGAACCAGAUCAAGAGUCAUAUGAGUAUGGACAAGAAGUCAUUUACCAUUGUAAAAUACUCUUCUACAACAGAGCUUCAAAAGCGGUCUGUUCUGAUGAAGGAGACUUUAUUCCUACUCCUCAUUGUGUGGGUCACUAUGGGAUUUUGCUGUUUAUUUCACUGGUACUCCUCUUGUUGCUGGCUGCUGCUGUGGUGUAUUUAAUGAAGAAAAAGAAACAGUAA